ensembl:snoRNA
GCCCAGUGAUGAGACCAAGGCGAAUAUGAGCCCAUUGAAUUGGAGUCUGAACUCUCCUGCUUUCCUGUUGGUUGGUAAUCUUGGCUGGGCAGUGAAAAUUUGCUGUCUUGCUGUAAGGGCCUGCCUACAUUCAAUAAGCCCCUUCCUCUGAGUUUUCUAUCCUUUAAAGAAAUGGGGAUGAAAAAGGGUGGGGCUUACAGUGUGUGUGUGUGUGUGUGUGUGUGUGUGUGCCCAUGUGUACGGUCACAGGUUGAAUCUCAGUUCUCUGCAGUAAUUCUUUGGGCAUUGAGCACUCUCUUUGGUAAUCUGAGGGCA